AACGCGAAGAACCUUACCUGGGUUUGACAUCUCUGGACAACCGUAGAGAUACGGCUUUCGUAGCAAUACGACCAGAAGACAGGUGCUGCAUGGCUGUCGUCAGCUCGUGUGGUGACAUGUUGGGUUAAGUCCCGCAACGAGCGCAACCCCUGUCCUUAGUUGCCAGCAUUCAGUUGGGCUCUCUAAGGAGACUGCCGUGGUGAACACGGAGGAAGGUGGGGAUGACGUCAAGUCCUCAUGGCCUUUAUAUCCAGGGCGACACACGUGAUACAAUGGACGGUACAGAGGGAUGCCAAGUGGCGACACGGAGCAAAAUCUCAAAAAAGCCGUUCUCAGUUCGGAUUGGAGUCUGCAACUCGACUCCAUGAAGUUGGAAUCGCUAGUAAUCGCGGAUCAGCACGCCGCGGUGAAUACGUUCCCGGGCCUUGUACACACCGGCUAC
rnacentral:rRNA from 1 species